GACGAACGCUGGCGGCGUGCUUAACACAUGCAAGUCGAACGAUGAAGCUAGAGCUUGCUCUGGUGGAUUAGUGGCGAACGGGUGAGUAACACGUGAGUAACCUGCCCCGAACUCUGGGAUAACUGCUGGAAACGGUAGCUAAUACCGGAUAUGACCAAUGAAGGCAUCUUCGGUUGGUGGAAAGAAUUUCGGUUCGGGAUGGACUCGCGGCCUAUCAGCUUGUUGGUGAGGUAACGGCUCACCAAGGCGACGACGGGUAGCCGGCCUGAGAGGGUGAUCGGCCACACUGGGACUGAGACACGGCCCAGACUCCUACGGGAGGCAGCAGUGGGGAAUAUUGCACAAUGGGCGCAAGCCUGAUGCAGCAACGCCGCGUGAGGGACGACGGCCUUCGGGUUGUAAACCUCUUUUAGUAGGGAAGAAGCGAAGGUGACGGUACCUGCAGAAAAAGCACCGGCUAACUACGUGCCAGCAGCCGCCGUAA
rnacentral:rRNA from 1 species